rnacentral:rRNA from 1 species
UACGUAGGGUGCAAGCGUUGUCCGGAAUUAUUGGGCGUAAAGAGCUCGUAGGCGGUUGUUGCGUUCGGCUGUGGAAUCCCGAGGCUCAACCUCGGUCUGCAGUCGAUACGAGCAAACUAGAGUGUUGCAGGGGAGACUGGAAUUCCUGGUGUAGCGGUGAAAUGCGCAGAUAUCAGGAGGAACACCAAUGGCGAAGGCAGCUCGCUGGGGACGGUACUGACGC